rnacentral:rRNA from 1 species
ACAAGCGGUGGAGUAUGUGGUUUAAUUCGAAGCAACGCGAAGAACCUUACCAGGACUUGACAUCCUACUAACGAAGCAGAGAUGCAUUAGGUGCCCUUCGGGGAAAGUAGAGACAGGUGGUGCAUGGUUGUCGUCAGCUCGUGUCGUGAGAUGUUGGGUUAAGUCCCGCAACGAGCGCAACCCCUACGUUUAGUUGCUAACGCGUGAAGGCGAGCACUCUAGAUGAACUGCCGUUGACAAAACGGAGGAAGGUGGGGAUGACGUCAAAUCAUCAUGCCCCUUAUGUUCUGGGCUACACACGUGCUACAAUGGCCGGUACAGACGGACGCAAAGCCGCGAGGCGGAGCAAAUCCGAAAAAGCCGGUCUCAGUUCGGAUUGCAGGCUGCAAUUCGCCUGCAUGAAGUCGGAAUCGCUAGUAAUCGCAGGUCAGCAUACUGCGGUGAAUACGUUCCCGGGCCUU